UACAGAGGGGGCAAGCGUUAUUCGGAAUUAUUGGGCGUAAAGGGCGCGUAGGCGGGCUGACAAGUCUGGGGUGAAAUGCCGCGGCUCAACCGUGGAACUGCCUUAGAUACUGUCGGCCUCGAGGGAGGUAGGGGCGUGCGGAACUGUAGGUGGAGCGGUGAAAUGCGUUGAUAUCUACAGGAACUCCGGUGGCGAAAGCGGCGCGCUGGACCUCUUCUGACGCUGAGGCGCGAAAGCUAGGGGAGCAAACGGG
rnacentral:rRNA from 1 species